ensembl:ncRNA K04B12.6 ncRNA
GGAAAUUGGAAAAUAAAUGAGAAUGAAAAUAAUGACAAAUAUUCAGUAAUGCUAAUUUCCACUGAGACAAUGAAAUUUAGAAAACAUACUAACUAUAGUUGCAGUAGACAGAAGUGCUCUGGUCGAGCGGUUGUACUAAUC